GAUGAACGCUAGCGGCAGGCCUAAUACAUGCAAGUCGAACGAGAUUAAGAGGCUUGCUUCUUAUGAAAGUGGCGCACGGGUGCGUAACGCGUAUGCAACCUACCUUAAUCAGGGGGAUAGCCCGAAGAAAUUCGGAUUAAGACCGCAUAAAAACACAGGAUAGCAUUAUCCAAUGUUCAAAUAUUUAUAGGAUUAAGAUGGGCAUGCGUGUCAUUAGCUAGUUGGCGGGGUAACGGCCCACCAAGGCGACGAUGACUAGGGGAUCUGAGAGGAUGACCCCCAACACUGGUACUGAGACACGGACCAGACUCCUACGGGAGGCAGCAGUAAGGAAUAUUGGUCAAUGGAGGGAACUCUGAACCAGCCACGCCGCGUGCAGGAAGACAGCCCUCUGGGUCGUAAACUGCUUUUAUUCGGGAAUAAACCUUUAUACGGGUAGGAAGCUGAAUGUACCGAAGGAAUAAGGAUCGGCUAACUCCGUG
rnacentral:rRNA from 1 species